UACGGGGGGUGCGAGCGUUGUCCGGAUUCACUGGGCGUAAAGGGCGCGUAGGCGGCUGACUCAGUCUGGUCUAUAAGGUGUGGGCUUACCCCGCACACGGAUUGGGGACGGGUUGGCUGGGGGUCGGUCGAGGGAAGCGGAAUGCCGGGUGUAGUGGUGAAAUGCGUAGGGAUCCGGCGGAACACCGGUGGUGAAGGCGGCUUCCUUGGCCGAACCUGACGCUGAGGCGCGAGAGCGCGGGGAGCGAACCGG
rnacentral:rRNA from 1 species